rnacentral:rRNA from 1 species
UACGUAGGGGGCAAGCGUUGUCCGGAUUUAUUGGGCGUAAAGAGCGUGUAGGCGGCUUGACAGGUCUGCUGUGAAAACUCGAGGCUCAACCUCGAGAUGUCGGCGGAAACCGUCUGGCUAGAGUCCGGAAGAGGAGAGUGGAAUUCCUGGUGUAGCGGUGAAAUGCGCAGAUAUCAGGAAGAACACCCGUGGCGAAGGCGGCUCUCUGGGACGGUACUGACGCUGAGACGCGAAAGCGUGGGGAGCAAACAGG